AAGUCGUAACAAGGUUUCCGUAGGUGAACCUGCGGAAGGAUCAUUAGUGAAUAUUAGGGUGCUCUUUUCUGCGGAAGCGAUUAGAGGCCUGACCUCCACUUAUCCUAACACUGUGCACUCUAAAAAGAAUUGGAGUCGUGGCUUCACGGCCCGCUUCAGUUUUUUCUUAUAUCACACACUUGUCAAAGAAUGUAAAACAAACAUAACAAAAUAAAACUUUCAACAACGGAUCUCUUGGCUCUC
rnacentral:misc_RNA from 1 species